GACGAACGCUGGCGGCGUGCUUAACACAUGCAAGUCGAACGGAAAGGCCCUGCUUUUGUGGGGUGCUCGAGUGGCGAACGGGUGAGUAACACGUGAGUAACCUGCCCUUGACUUUGGGAUAACUUCAGGAAACUGGGGCUAAUACCGGAUAGGAGCUCCUGCUGCAUGGUGGGGGUUGGAAAGUUUCGGCGGUUGGGGAUGGACUCGCGGCUUAUCAGCUUGUUUGUGUGGUAGUGGCGUACCAAGGCUUUGACGGGUAGCCGGCCUGAGAGGGUGACCGGCCACAUUGGGACUGAGAUACGGCGCAGAAUCCUACGGGCGGCAGCAGUGGAGAAUAUUGCACAAUGGGCGGAAGCCUGAUGCAGCAACGCCGCGUGCGGGAUGACGGCCUUCGGGUUGUAAACCGCUUUCGCCUGUGCCGAAGCGUGAGUGACGGUAAUGAGUCAAGAAGCACCGGCUAACUACGUG
rnacentral:rRNA from 1 species